rnacentral:misc_RNA from 1 species
UUUUUAUGUGGUUUAUAUGAUUGAAAUUUGCAAUAUUGUUCUUGAAAUUUUUGGGUUUGCAAUAAUUUCAAUACCACUUUGUUCAUGGGCAGAGGAAUAGAAUAGAUGAGAAUAAUCAUCUGAUAAAAAAGUUUGUUUUGUCUAUGCUUGUGAUAGAACUGGAAUAUUGUAUUCCUCCCUUUUGGUUCUACAAAUGUAUGUUCCCC